UGCUGGUCUUGUGGUUUUGACUCCCUACUCUGACUCUUGUUUCUGACUCUAAGACCCUUGGUGUUCUUUGGUUCUCUGCUCGUGAUUCUGGUUUGACUUUUGGCUCUUGCUUUUGGCUUCUGAUCCCAGUUAACUUUCAGCUUGCUUUGUCUCUGGCUUUGGCUUCUGACCUUGGCUUAUCCUAUUAGCUACUGCUUGUGAAUCCAGUUUGACACCAGACCCUCUGGGCCUCAAUUCCCUGUGAAGCCAACGUGGACUACAUCUGCACUUCAGUACACUGCACCCCUAUCCUGAAAGCUACAUUGGAAAUGAAGAAGAUUAAUUCAUCCUGCAUGCCUAUUUGUUGAGGCUGCUAGUCCAGACUGCUUCAGAUUGCUGUCUAACCCAUAUUUAGCCGAGUUGAGGAUGUGCUCCCCAGAUGCUGCCAGCUGACCCGAAGAGCAUACAUGCAUUUUGGUGAGUACCUGGAGGGAAGAUUCUAAGCAUCAUCAUUUUGGCCACAGUAGCAGAUCACCAUUACACAUCACAUCAAGCCAAGUUGCUUUACUGGGACUUUGCAAGAGCAGUUUCAAUGGAAGAUUACUUAAGGUGCCUGAUUCAAGAUGACUGGAUGUCUGGUUUACAUUUUUGCAUUUCAGUACAUGUCCCCACCUUGUGCCCCUGCUUUGUGGAGCUUUGCCAGUGCCCCAAGCAGCAAAUCCACUGCCUCUCACAACUCCAUCCCCCUAAAUAGGGGCUGCCUUUACAAGGUGAAAGAGGGAUUGGUGGCUUCUGUAGAGGGCUCCUAGGAAGUGACUCUGAUUUUUGGGACUUCAAUUUGUGGUGAAUCCAGAGCAACCCAUCAGUCAAACUGUUCCAUCAGAUGUUCUGGAGGAAGUCUUGGGGUACUAUUCAGUGAUGAAGCUGUGGCCCAUACAAGUAAAAUUUCACAAACCAGAAUCAC